GACGUAGGGGGCCAGCGUUGCUCGGAAUUACUGGGUGUAAAGGGUUCGUAGGCGGUAUGGCAAGUCGGGAGUGAAAUCUCUGGGCUCAACCCAGAGUCUGCUUCCGAAACUGCUGUGCUUGAGUGUGGGAGAGGCGCGUGGAAUUGCAGGUGUAGCGGUGAAAUGCGUAGAUAUCUGCAGGAACACCCGUGGCGAAAGCGGCGCGCUGGACCACUACUGACGCUGAGGAACGAAAGCUAGGGGAGCAAACAGG
rnacentral:rRNA from 1 species